GACGAACGCUGGCGGCGUGCUUAACACAUGCAAGUCGAACGGAAAGGCCCUGCUUUUGUGGGGUGCUCGAGUGGCGAACGGGUGAGUAACACGUGAGUAACCUGACCUUGACUUUGGGAUAACUUCAGGAAACUGGGGCUAAUACCGGAUAGGAGCCCCCGCUGCAUGGUGGGGGUUGGAAAGUUUCGGCGGUUGGGGAUGGACUAGCGGCUUAUCAGCUUGUUGGUGGGGUAGUGGCUUACCAAGGCUUUGACGGGUAGCCGGCCUGAGAGGGUGACCGGCCACAUGGGGACUGAGAUACGGCCCAGACGCCUACGGGAGGCAACAGUGGGGAGUAUUGCACAGUGGGCGGGAGCCUGAGGCGGCGGCGCCGCGUGUGGAAUGACGGCCUUCUGGUUAUGAACCGCAUUCGCCUAUUACGAAGCGUGAGUGACGGUAAUGGGUAAAUAAGCACCGGCUAACUACGUG
rnacentral:rRNA from 1 species